rnacentral:rRNA from 3 species
UUUUCGGAGAGUUUGAUCCUGGCUCAGGACGAACGCUGGCGGCGUGCCUAAUACAUGCAAGUCGAGCGGACAGAAGGGAGCUUGCUCCCGGAUGUUAGCGGCGGACGGGUGAGUAACACGUGGG